rnacentral:rRNA from 1 species
GAUGAACGCUAGCUACAGGCUUAACACAUGCAAGUCGAGGGGCAGCAUGGUCUUAGCUUGCUAAGGCCGAUGGCGACCGGCGCACGGGUGAGUAACACGUAUCCAACCUGCCGUCUACUCUUGGACAGCCUUCUGAAAGGAAGAUUAAUACAAGAUGGCAUCAUGAGUCCGCAUGUUCACAUGAUUAAAGGUAUUCCGGUAGACGAUGGGGAUGCGUUCCAUUAGAUAGUAGGCGGGGUAACGGCCCACCUAGUCUUCGAUGGAUAGGGGUUCUGAGAGGAAGGUCCCCCACAUUGGAACUGAGACACGGUCCAAACUCCUACGGGAGGCAGCAGUGAGGAAUAUUGGUCAAUGGGCGAGAGCCUGAACCAGCCAAAGUAGCGUGAAGGAUGACUGCCCUAUGGGGUUGUAAAACUUCUUUAUACGGGAAUAAAGUUAGCCACGUGUGGUUUUUUGUAUGUACCGUAUGAAUAAGGAUCGGCUAACUCCGUGCCAGC